UGGGGAAUCUUGCACAAUGGGGGCAACCCCGAUGCAGCGACGCCGCGUGAGCGAUGAAGCCCUUCGGGGCGUAAAGCUCUUUCGGCCGGAACGAUAAUGACGGUACCGGGAGAAGAAGCUGCGGCUAACUACGUGCCAGCAGCCGCGGUAAUACGUAGGCAGCAAGCGUUGUUCGGAGUUACUGGGCGUAAAGAGUGCGUAGGCGGUUUUCUAAGUUCGGUGUGAAAUCUCCCGGCUUAACUGGGAGGGUGCGCCGAAGACUGGGAAGCUGGAGUGUGGGAAAGGCAGGCGGAAUUCCUGGUGUAGCGGUGAAAUGCGUAGAUAUCAGGAGGAACACCGGCGGUGUAGACGGCUUGCUAGACCAUAACUGGCGCUGAGGCACGAAAGCGUGGGUAGCAAACA
rnacentral:rRNA from 1 species